rnacentral:rRNA from 1 species
GAUGAACGCUGGCGGUGUGCCUAAUACAUGCAAGUCGAACGAGAUCUUCGGAUCUAGUGGCGAACGGGUGAGUAACACGUUGGUACCUACCCCUAAGUGGGAAGUAACUGCCCGAAAGGGUAGGCUAAUACCGCAUAAUCCCGCAAGGGUAAAGCAGUAAUGCGCUUAGGGAGGGGCCGUGCGUCUGAUUAGCUAGUUGGUAGAGUAAUAGCCUACCAAGGCGACGAUCAGUAGCUGGAUCGAGAGGUUGACCAGCCACACUGGGACUGAGAUACGGCCCAGACUCCUACGGGAGGCAGCAGUAAGGAAUCUUCCACAAUGGACGAAAGUCUGAUGGAGCAACACCGCGUGCAGGAUGACGGCCUUUAGGGUUGUAAACUGCUUUUAUAUGGGAAGAUUAUGACGGUACCAUAUGAAUAAGGACCGGCUAACUACGUGCCAGCCGCCGCCGUAAU